GAAAUCCCCGGGCUCAACCUAGGAACUGCAUUCGAAACUGGCAGGCUAGAGUCUUGUAGAGGGGGGUAGAAUUCCAGGUGUAGCGGUGAAAUGCGUAGAGAUCUGGAGGAAUACCGGUGGCGAAGGCGGCCCCCUGGACAAAGACUGACGCUCAGGUGCGAAAGCGUGGGGAGCAAACAGGAUUAGAUACCCUGGUAGUCCACGCCGUAAACGAUGUCGAUUUGGAGGUUGUGCCCUUGAGGCGUGGCUUCCGGAGCUAACGCGUUAAAUCGACCGCCUGGGGAGUACGGCCGCAAGGUUAAAACUCAAAUGAAUUGACGGGGGCCCGCACAAGCGGUGGAGCAUGUGGUUUAAUUCGAUGCAACGCGAAGAACCUUACCUGGUCUUGACAUCCACAGAACUUGCCAGAGAUGGCUUGGUGCCUUCGGGAACUGUGAGACAGGUGCUGCAUGGCUGUCGUCAGCUCGUGUUGUGAAAUGUUGGGUUAAGUCCCGCAACGAGCGCAACCCUUAUCCUUUGUUGCCAGCGGUUAGGCCGGGAACUCAAAGGAGACUGCCAGUGAUAAACUGGAGGAAGGUGGGGAUGACGUCAAGUCAUCAUGGCCCUUACGACCAGGGCUACACACGUGCUACAAUGGCGCAUACAAAGAGAAGCGACCUCGCGAGAGCAAGCGGACCUCAUAAAGUGCGUCGUAGUCCGGAUUGGAGUCUGCAACUCGACUCCAUGAAGUCGGAAUCGCUAGUAAUCGUAGAUCAGAAUGCUACGGUGAAUACGUUCCCGGGCCUUGUACACACCGCCCGUCACACCAUGGGAGUGGGUUGCAAAAGAAGUAGGUAGCUUAACCUUCGGGAGGGCGCUUACCACUUUGUGAUUCAUGACUGGGGUGAAGUCGUAACAAGGUAACCGUAGGGGAACCUGCGGUUGGAUCACCUCCUUACCUUAAAGAA
rnacentral:rRNA from 1 species